GGGCAUGUAGUGUAGGGGUUAUCGCGUUCGCUUCGCAUCGAGUCAACUUGACUAUGUGAUUGUGAAAGGUCCUCGGUUCAAUUCCGAGCUUGUCCA